AGAGUUUGAUCAUGGCUCAGAUUGAACGCUGGCGGCAUGCCUUACACAUGCAAGUCGAACGGCAGCACGGGUGCUUGCACCUGGUGGCGAGUGGCGAACGGGUGAGUAAUAUAUCGGAACGUACCUUAUCGUGGGGGAUAACGCAGCGAAAGCUGCGCUAAUACCGCAUACGCCCUGAGGGGGAAAGCGGGGGACCGUAAGGCCUCGCGCGAUUAGAGCGGCCGAUAUCUGAUUAGCUUGUUGGUGGGGUAAAAGCCCACCAAGGCGACGAUCAGUAGCUGGUCUGAGAGGACGAUCAGCCACACUGGGACUGAGACACGGCCCAGACUCCUACGGGAGGCAGCAGUGGGGAAUUUUGGACAAUGGGGGCAACCCUGAUCCAGCAAUGCCGCGUGAGUGAAGAAGGCCUUCGGGUUGUAAAGCUCUUUUGUCAGGGAAGAAACAGCAGCUCUAACACAGUCUGCGAAUGACGGUACCUGAAGAAUAAGCACCGGCUAACUACGUGCCAGCAGCCGCGGUAAUACGUAGGGUGCAAGCGUUAAUCGGAAUUACUGGGCGUAAAGCGUGCGCAGGCGGUUAUACAAGACAGGCGUGAAAUCCCCGGGCUUAACCUGGGAAUGGCGUCUGUGACUGUAUGACUAGAGUGUGUCAGAGGGGGGUAGAAUUCCACGUGUAGCAGUGAAAUGCGUAGAUAUGUGGAGGAAUACCAAUGGCGAAGGCAGCCCCCUGGGAUAACACUGACGCUCAUGCACGAAAGCGUGGGGAGCAAACAGGAUUAGAUACCCUGGUAGUCCACGCCCUAAACGAUGCCGACUAGUUGUUGGGAAUUUACAUUCUCAGUAACGUAGCUAACGCGUGAAGUCGGCCGCCUGGGGAGUACGGUCGCAAGAUUAAAACUCAAAGGAAUUGACGGGGACCCGCACAAGCGGUGGAUGAUGUGGAUUAAUUCGAUGCAACGCGAAAAACCUUACCUACCCUUGACAUGUCACUAACGAAGUAGAGAUACAUUAGGUGCCCGUAAGGGAAAGUGAACACAG
rnacentral:rRNA from 1 species